AAGAUCCCUCUGUGCGACAGGAGCCUGCACCUGCAGGAAAUCUCUUUCCAGCCCUCUCAAGGAUCUGACCAUCAUGUCAUGGGAGAACACCAUCUGUCCUUGGAUCGGCAGGUGAAAAGCGGAGAUCGCUGCAAGAUGCACUCUAAUGGAAGAGUGUGCUGGGCCCAGGCUCCUCAAAUGGAGCAGGUAGCCCAGGACAGCCUGUAUGGAGGAAUGGGGGAGAGACGCCCCGUUCAGAUGCCCAGCAGGUAAACCUUGUCCACUUGGCCAGGGCACUGCUGAUGAGUGGAAUCGGAGGGAACAUGUACAUCAGGCUCCCUGACCACAACAGGAGGAAGGCAUCGGAAAGGGAGUCCUUGCUCAGAUGCUGUUGAGAACAAAACCUAUGGCAUUUCCUGUUCUGUCUGGUGGUGAACUGGUCUAGUUGGGGAGUUCCCCACCUUUGGAAGAUCAUGCAGGCUACCUCUGGAUGGAGUGACCACUCCUUGUGAGAGGAGAAGUCCCUGCUGAGCUGGUCUGCCAGCAUAUUCCUGACACCGGGAAGGUGACAAGCUUCUAGGUGGAUUUCAUGGCUGAUGCAGAAAUCCCACAGGUGGAGCGCCUCCUGACAGAGAACCGAUGAGCAACACUUCUUCUUACCUGUUGAUGUAGAACAUCGAGGCUGUGUUGUCCGUCAGGACUUGUACCAACUUACCCGACAGGUGGGGCAAGAAGACUCCACAUGCCAGCUGGACUGCUCAGAGUUCUUUGACAUUUAUGUGUAACCAUGCCUCCUCCGGGGAGGUUGCUGAGAUGUGCCCCCCCCAGCCGAGGUCCAAGGCAUCUGACACCAACUCAAUGGAGUGAGGAGGGCUGUUGAACGGAACUCCCCAGGACUGUCCUGCAGUCAGUCCACCUUCUCAGCGAAGGGCUGCAUCCAGAGCCUGGCAUGGCAGAACAUGCAAGUGUACACUGCCAUGUGGCCCAACAGGCGCAGAUAGACCCUGGCUGUAGUCAGAGGGAACGCGGAGACUUCCGCGAUGAGUUUCGUCAACAUGUGGAACCUUUCCCGCUGCAGGAACACUCUGGCGCAGGUAGAGUCAAGGAUCACGCCGAUGAUCUCUAUCUUCUGCACUGGCACUAAUGUCGACCUUUUGUUGUUCACCAGUAGCCCCAGGGAGCGGCAUGUGGCUUAAAACACCACAACGUUCAUUCAGACUUGAGACCUGGAGCCACCCUUGACGAACCAGUCGUUGAGGUCCGGGUAGAUCUGGAUACCCCGACACGUGAGGGCCCCACCACCAAAGGGCAGGUCCUGCAAUGACUGCUGGGCCUCAGUGGACAACCCAUAGAGGAGCAACCAAGAGGCUUGCCGCAUAGAGACAGCAGACGCCAUGGUGUGGGAAGCAGCAUCAGCAGCAUCUGAUGCCACCUGGAGGGCCACCCGGGCCACAGUUGUGCCCUCAUCGAGGAUCACUCGGAAUUCCUUCUUGGAAGCCUCGGGGAGCAACCCUUCGAACGUGGCCAUGGCUUGCCACAUAUUAAAGUCAUA